AACAAACGCUGGCGGCGUGCCUAACACAUGCAAGUCGUACGAGAAAGGGUCCUUCGGGGCCUGAGUAAAGUGGCGCACGGGUGAGUAACGCGUGGAUAAUCUGCCCUUCAGUUGGGAAUAACUCAUCGAAAGGUGGGCUAAUACCGAAUAAUGCUGUGAGACCUCGGUUGAUCAGCCAAAGAGAGCCUCUGCUUGCAAGCCCUCGCUGAAGGAUGAGUCCGCGUACCAUUAGCUAGUUGGUAGGGUAAUGGCCUACCAAGGCGACGAUGGUUAGCUGGUCUGAGAGGAUGAUCAGCCACACUGGAACUGAGACACGGUCAGACUCCUACGGGAGGCAGCAGUGAGGAAUCUUGCGCAAUGGGGGCAACCCUGACGCAGCAACGCCGCGUGAGUGAGGGAGGUCUUCGGAUCGUAAAGCUCUGUCGGAUGGAAAGAACCGCAUUGGGGUAAACAGCCCCUGUGUCUGACGGUACCAUCAAAGGAAGCACCGGCUAACUCCGUGCCAGCCGCCGCCGUAAGAC
rnacentral:rRNA from 1 species